rnacentral:miRNA from 1 species
CCCGUCCCGUUCGUCCCCGGACGUUGCUCUCUACCCCGGGAACGUCGAGACUGGAGCGCCCGAACUGAGCCACCUUCGCGGACCCCGAGAGCGGCG